UCUUAUGGAUGAGCAAAGAAAGUGGUUUUCUGAGGUGGAAUCUUCUUCUAGUGAAGAUGCUGUGAA
rnacentral:pre_miRNA from 1 species